UUGAACGCUGGCGGCAUGCCUUACACAUGCAAGUCGAACGACGCUAGGGGCAACUCUAGCGAGUGGCGUACGGGUGAGUAAUGCAUCGGAACGUGCCCUCUCGUGGGGGACAACCAGUCGAAAGAUUGGCUAAUACCGCAUGAGCUCGAAAGAGGAGAGCGGGGGAUCCGCAAGGACCUCGCGCGAGAGGAGCGGCCGAUGCCCGAUUAGCUAGUUGGUGGGGUAAAAGCCCACCAAGGCGACGAUCGGUAGCUGGUCUGAGAGGACGACCAGCCACACUGGGACUGAGACACGGCCCAGACUCCUACGGGAGGCAGCAGUGGGGAAUUUUGGACAAUGGGCGAAAGCCUGAUCCAGCCAUGCCGCGUGUGUGAAGAAGGCCUUCGGGUUGUAAAGCACUUUCGGCCGGAACGAAAUCGCGCGGGUGAACAAUCCGCGUGGAUGACGGUACCGGAAGAAGAAGCACCGGCUAACUACGUGCCAGCAGCCGCGGUAAUACGUAGGGUGCGAGCGUUAAUCGGAAUUACUGGGCGUAAAGCGUGCGCAGGCGGCGCCGCAAGUCGAGUGUGAAAUCCCCGAGCUUAACUUGGGAAUUGCGCUCGAAACUACGGUGCUGGAGUGUGGCAGAGGGAGGUGGAAUUCCACGUGUAGCGGUGAAAUGCGUAGAGAUGUGGAGGAACACCGAUGGCGAAGGCAGCCUCCUGGGCCAACACUGACGCUCAUGCACGAAAGCGUGGGGAGCAAACAGGAUUAGAUACCCUGGUAGUCCACGCCCUAAACGAUGCAUACUAGUUGUUGGGGAGUUCAAUUCCCUCGUAGCCGAAGUUAACAGCAGUGAAGUAUGCCGCCUGGGGAGUACGGCUCGCAAGAUUGAAACUCGAAGGAAUUGACGGGGACCCGCACAAGCAGGUGGAUGAUGUGGUUUAAUUCGAAGCAACGCGAAAAACCUUACCAGUACCCUUGACAUCCGCUGAGGAACCCUGCAGAGAUGAGGGGCUGCCUCGAAGGGACAUAGACACAGGUGCUGCAUGAUUGUCGUCAGCUCGUGUCGUGAGAUGUUGGGUUAAGUCCCGCAACGAGCGCAACCCUUGCAUCUAGUUGCCUACACUUCGGUUGAGCACUCUAAUGAGGACUGCCGGUGACAAACCGGAGGAAGGUGGGGAUGACGUCAAGUCAUCAUGGCCCCUUAUGGUACCUGGGCUACACACGUACUACAAUGGUCGGUACAGACGGGUAGCCAACCGCGAGGGGGAGCAAAUCCUUAGAAAGCGCGAUCGUCAGUUCGGAUUGCAGUCUGCAACUCGCCUUCAUGAAGUCGGAAUUGCUAGUAAUCGCAGAUCAGCAUGCCUGCGGUGAAUACGUUCCCGGGCCUUGUACACACCGCCCGUCACACCAUGGGAGUGGGGUUCACCAGAAGUAGGUAGCCUAACCGCAGAGGGGGCCGCUUACCACGGUGACGCUUCAUGACUGGGGUG
rnacentral:rRNA from 1 species